rnacentral:misc_RNA from 1 species
UCUCGUAGGUGACCUGCGGAGGGAUCAUUACAAGUGACCCCGGUCUAACCACCGGGAUGUUCAUAACCCUUUGUUGUCCGACUCUGUUGCCUCCGGGGCGACCCUGCCUUCGGGCGGGGGCUCCGGGUGGACACUUCAAACUCUUGCGUAACUUUGCAGUCUGAGUAAACUUAAUUAAUAAAUUAAAACUUUUAACAACGGAUCUCUUGGUUCUGGCAUCGAUGAAGAACGCAGCGAAAUGCGAUAAGUAAUGUGAAUUGCAGAAUUCAGUGAAUCAUCGAAUCUUUGAACGCACAUUGCGCCCCCUGGUAUUCCGGGGGGCAUGCCUGUUCGAGCGUCAUUUCACCACUCAAGCCUCGCUUGGUAUUGGGCAACGCGGUCCGCCGCGUGCCUCAAAUCGACCGGCUGGGUCUUCUGUCCCCUAAGCGUUGUGGAAACUAUUCGCUAAAGGGUGUUCGGGAGGCUACGCCGUAAAACAACCCCAUUUCUAAGGUUGACCUCGGAUCAGGUAGGGAUACCCGCUGAACUUAAGCAUAUCAAAA